GAUUAACGCUGGCGGCGUGCCUAACACAUGCAAGUCGAACGAGGUAGCAAUACCUAGUGGCAGACGGGUGAGUAACGCGUGGUCAACCUACCCUGGAGUGGGGGAUAACUAGCCGAAAGGUUAGCUAAUACCGCAUGAUACGUAACGGGGCAUCCCGAUACGUUGAAAGGAGCAAUCCGCUCGAGGACGGGACCGCGUCCGAUUAGCUAGUUGGUGAGGUAAUGGCUUACCAAGGCUCCGAUCGGUAGCUGGUUUGAGAGAGCGACCAGCCACACUG
rnacentral:rRNA from 1 species